UCCGGGGCAGAAAAUUGGGU
rnacentral:misc_RNA from 1 species